rnacentral:rRNA from 1 species
CCCUUAGAUGUUCUGGGCCGCACGCGUGCUACACUGAGUGGAUCAGCGGGUCAGGUUGCGCGAAAGCGUUUCCUAAUCUUUAAAUCCGCUCGUGAUGGGGAUUGACGGUUGCAAUUUUCUGUCAUGAACGAGGAAUACCUUGUAAGCGCGGGUCAUCAUCCCGCGCUGAAUACGUCCCUGCCCUUUGUACACACCGCCCGUCGCUCCUACCGAUUGAGUGGUCCGGUGAGGCUUUGGGAUCUGAGCGGAAAGAGCGUUUCGCUGUUUCUGCUCGGAAAACUCAGUCGAACCUUAUCAUUUAGAGGAAGGAGCAGUCGUAACA